CCUACGGGAGGCUGCAGUGAGGAAUAUUGGUCAAUGGACGGAAGUCUGAACCAGCCAUGCCGCGUGCAGGAAGACGGCUCUAUGAGUUGUAAACUGCUUUUGUACAAGGGUAAACCUGAAUACGUGUAUUCAGCUGAAAGUACUGUACGAAUAAGGAUCGGCUAACUCCGUGCCAGCAGCCGCGGUAAUACGGAGGAUCCAAGCGUUAUCCGGAUGUAUUGGGUUGAAAGGGUGCGUAGGCGGAUUGAUAAGUUAGAGGUGAAAUGUCCGAGCUUAACUCGGGAACUGCCUCUCAUACUGUUGAUCUAGCGCGUAGUUGCGGUAGGCUGAAUGUAUGGUGUAGCGGU
rnacentral:rRNA from 1 species